UUUAAGGUCUAGCCUGCCCAAUGAGGAUUUAAAUGGCCGCAGUAUUUUGACUGUGCAAAGGUAGCAUAAUUAUUAGUUUUUUAAUUGAGAGCUUGUAUGAAGGGUUGGACGAGAUAAAAUCUGUCUUUAUUUAAAUUAAAGUAUAAUUUAACUUUUAAGUCAAAAGGCUUAAAUGUUUAUAAAAGACGAGAAGACCCUAUAGAUCUUUAUUUAGUUAAGACUUUAAUAAUUUAGGAUUAUUUUAAUUUGGAGUUUUAAUUAAAUUUUAUUGGGGUAAUAUAAAGAUUAAAUGAAUUCUUUUUAUUUAUGACAUUAAUUUAUGAAUAUAUGAUCCAUUAAUAUUGAUUAUAAGAUUAAGUUACCUUAGGGAUAACAGCGUAAUUUUUUUGGAGAGCUCAUAUCGAUAAGAAAGUUUGCGACCUCGAUGUUGGAUUAAAAAUUAGCUUGGGUGCAGAAGCUCAAGAUUUUGGUCUGUUCGACCAUUAAAUUUUUACAUGAUCUGAGUUCAGACCGGCGUAAGCCAGGUCGGUUUCUAUCUUUAUUCAGAUAAAAUAUUUUAGUACGAAAGGACCAAGUAUUUAAUAUAAUUAUAUUUAUUUUUUGAAGAAUAUU
rnacentral:rRNA from 1 species